GCAAGUCGAACGAUGAACCACUUCGGUGGGGAUUAGUGGCGAACGGGUGAGUAACACGUGGGCAAUCUGCCCUGCACUCUGGGACAAGCCCUGGAAACGGGGUCUAAUACCGGAUACUGACCCUCACGGGCAUCUGUGAGGUUCGAAAGCUCCGGCGGUGCAGGAUGAGCCCGCGGCCUAUCAGCUUGUUGGUGAGGUAAUGGCUCACCAAGGCGACGACGGGUAGCCGGCCUGAGAGGGCGACCGGCCACACUGGGACUGAGACACGGCCCAGACUCCUACGGGAGGCAGCAGUGGGGAAUAUUGCACAAUGGGCGAAAGCCUGAUGCAGCGACGCCGCGUGAGGGAUGACGGCCUUCGGGUUGUAAACCUCUUUCAGCAGGGAAGAAGCGAAAGUGACGGUACCUGCAGAAGAAGCGCCGGCUAACUACGUGCCAGCAGCCGCGGUAAUACGUAGGGCGCGAGCGUUGUCCGGAAUUAUUGGGCGUAAAGAGCUCGUAGGCGGCUUGUCACGUCGGUUGUGAAAGCCCGGGGCUUAACCCCGGGUCUGCAGUCGAUACGGGCAGGCUAGAGUUCGGUAGGGGAGAUCGGAAUUCCUGGUGUAGCGGUGAAAUGCGCAGAUAUCAGGAGGAACACCGGUGGCGAAGGCGGAUCUCUGGGCCGAUACUGACGCUGAGGAGCG
rnacentral:rRNA from 3 species